GUCGGGAUGGCGGAAUUGGCAGACGCGCAUGGCUUAGGACCAUGUGGGGUAAUUCCCGUCGGGGUUCAAGUCCCCGUCCCGACACCA
rnacentral:tRNA from 1 species